UGAACCAAAAACAGGAAAUUGUCAUGAAGGAAAAUUCCUCAUACAAGUUCGUUUCAAACAUUGUUGUUUUGGCUAGAUUAAACAAGUCGUUGAGAAUGAACAAUGGAAGCUGAUUUUCUAGCAGCAAAAUCUCAUGCGUCACAUCAUUAUACAAAAAUAAUUUUCCUAAUAUGGGAUCCUCAUUCGUUCUGAGAUUAGGUUGAUAAUACUUCAGAAAGAGCUCAAUGAGAAACACAGCAUCCACUAAAACCAUUUUUAUGAACUCAUCACUCCCAAGAUUACAUUGAUUGUAAUUAAGGUUGUUGGAAGUACUGCUGUACGGCCAAGGCGGACGUGCGGUACAGCCGGAAAGCACUUAAGGUAUCUUUUCUUAUGCUCUUCCAUGGCUUUUAGCUCUUCCUUACCAUGAUGAAAAGGGCCAAUUGAAACCAUUCGCGGAGUAAAAUGACUUGGAUGGGAACACCGCGUGGCCUCAGGAACUCUGUAGAUGGAACACUCUCUGGCUAAGGGAUGCAAUGACUCCAGUUCCCCACUCAAAGAAUCUGCCAACUUCUCCAUAUCAAUCGAUACACCAUAACCCUCAUGCUCAUGCUUUCUGGUGUCCAUCUUCUCAUUAAUUGCUCGCUGCAGUAGCAACAAAAUGAAUGAAAUCAGUAAAACAGAAAGAAAACAGGUAGCAUUAAGAACAAUAACCGAAACAGGAGGUGAAGACGUGCAACUAGGAGUUUGGGAAGAGCAAGAGCAAUGAUGAGUCGAAGGAGAUGAUAUUGGUGGCGAAUUAUUUGAAUAUCAAAAAGAUGUUGGAUUAUUUGACCGAGGCUCUGGUCAACAAGAUUAAGAACAAGAGUGUCGAGUAUGUCAGGAAGUAAAGUUAUUUGGAAUUGAAAAUGAUUUUACGCUCGAGGAGGAGGAAGCAGCCAGGAAGGGUGAUGAUAAAGCAUAAGCUUUUUAAAUUUUAAUCCCCAUCAUUAUUUAAUUGAAGUAAUUUUAUGUUUUAUGUUUUACAAUAAUUGCUGGCUGGAUAUUGAUUGAUGUUGAAUUUGAUUAUAUCUGAUCACACUUCAUUACAUUCAAUUUAUAUUUACUAGUGUCUUUUAUAGUUUUUUUUCUUUCUUAUUUAUUUUUUGGCAUUGAUUUAGGGUAAAAUAAUAAUUUUAUGUUUGUGGGUAAAAAAAAUCAUUUGAUCAAUACUCUAUUAAUUCUAUUAACACCGUUAAAACGGCGAUGGACGAGUGCAUGAAAAUGUAUUUUCAAGUAGAAUUCAGCUUUAAAAAAAAUGUGUAUAAAAAAAACACAAGAAAAGAGGUGAUGCAUGGAUGAUUGCUCUUCAUUAAAAGACCAAGCUCUCGUAAUAAGAAAUGAUUUGUGGGCUGAUUUUUUAUUUUUUAUUUUUAGUUUUUUGAGAAUGCCCAUUGGAUUGUUUAAACGUGCGCUUUGCUCCCAUGAUCCUCGAUCAAGGAAUAUAAUAAAACAAUUCCAACCAAUCGUGCACUCUUCGGACAAAUUGAUAAGAGGUCAAGAGUCUUUUUUUUUUUUUUUUUUUAAUAUAGUGGAGCCUAGUAAAGACUAGGACAAACAGAGCAGGAAUGAAAGUCUCAUACAUAUUAUUACAUAACUAAUAUCCAAUCCCCUCCGGAUAAUUAGUCAAGAUUCUUUUUUUAAUACAACAAAACCGAGUUGCUUUCUCUAUAAAAUUGAAUAAAUUGUUUUCAUUUUAAUUUUUCAAUAAAGCAAAAAAUUAGCAACUAGGUGAUCGUGCUCAAACAAUUCAAUAGGCCACAAGUCAGUCCAAAAUUUAUGUCGAGGUUAGGUGACCCAAUUUAAUUAAAAUAAUAAAGCGACAAGUAGACAAUUCUUUUAUUAAACCCGGGCCCCGACUCAUGUGCUAGAUUCCUAUUUUAAAUUUGUCUAUUUUCACUUGUUAAACUGUCUUGCUAUACCAAGAAAGCCCUUCGUAUCUUCCACCUCCUCAAUGAUUUGGGUUCUCUCCAUUGAUGUUCUGAAUACUCAUUGAAAUUGAGUGAGAAAAUUUGUCAGUUCAGCUCAAAAGAUAAGCGUGAGAGAUUAAACAACUACUUGAAAAUACUUUGAUCCUUUAGAUGACAAAUUGACAAUUUAGGUUUUGUUGCACUUUAGAGUACCUCACGUUUUAUAUGUCUCAAAUUCAGGGUUGGACCGACUAUGAGUCAAUUUGACAAUGCUAGAAUUUUUAAAAUAAUUGUUAAUAAUUGUGCUGUAAAAUUAAUUAGUUGCGAAAGUUAAACAUUUAAUAAUUUUAGGUGUCUCUCUCCUGCUUUGCCGAUGUGGGAUUCACCUAGAGUGUUACAAUUUCUUAAUUGAAUAUGGAUAAUUUUAGAUAUUUAUAAUAUAUGUGAAGAUAUAUAUGAAAUUAGUUGUGUAAAGUUAUUCCUUUUCUACUUUUCUAAUUUACCAUAUAAUGGGGUGAUUUUACCAAAAGUAAUUUUUAAAAAAAAAUAUCAAAAUUAAUUUUUAUCUUUUCGAAAUCAAAAUUUUGAGCCUAAAAAACAAUCCCAAAAGGGCUCUAUGACAAACCACAUUUUAGUUGAAAUUUUUAAUUUCAAAAAAAAUGGUUUUGUUGCAAGUGUCAUGUUGUUACAACUGACAUAAAAAGUUUCUAAUAUUUAAAAAAUAAUAGUUUUUUUUUUCUUUUAUUUCUCAACUUUUAUGCUUAUUCAUGCAUCUCCACACGUCAGUGUCGCCUACAACUUUUAGCGUGGAAGACAUCAUCCGUACUCACGCCCUCCUUAUCGAGGGAGCGAGUUCGAAUCCCAGUGGGAGUAGUUCAUUAAGCCGCACCAUAAUGGAAAAGAAGUAGAUUCCUUUUCAAUGAAGGUGUAGUACGUUUCGCCGCGUCAAAAUAAAACCGAUGCCGCGUCAAAAUUAUUUGAUGUCGAGUAGAUUUUUGCUUGACCCUGGUUUAAACUUGACUCCAGCUUGGUGAAGUUCCUUUAGACUGGGAAUGUUCACAUCUUUCAACGCAAUAUCUGAAUGCGACUGGGAUGGCUGAAGACAGAGUAUAAGCAGAUCAACAAAAUGUUUAGCUCUCGAAAAGUUGAUUUCUAGCAAAUUCUCCUGUAUUGGAAGAUAUCCAGCAAUAUUACCCCUGAACCAAAAACAGGAAAUUGUCAUGAAGGAAAAUUCCUCAUACAAGUUCGUUUCAAACAUUGUUGUUUUGGCUAGAUUAAACAAGUCGUUGAGAAUGAACAAUGGAAGCUGAUUUUCUAGCAGCAAAAUCUCAUGCUUCAUAUCAACAUACAAAAAUGAUUUUCCGAAUAUGGGAUCCUCAUCAGUUCUGAAAUUAGGUUGAUAAAACUUCAGAAAGAGCUCAAUGAGAAACACAGCAUCCACUAGAACCAUUUUUAUGAACUCAUCACUCCCAAGAUGAAUUGUUUCAGCAUAACAGUUGCGCAAUUCUGCUUCCCUU
rnacentral:lncRNA from 1 species